rnacentral:rRNA from 1 species
AUGCCACCGAAGAAGAAGGCUUCGGAGGUGGCUGCUCCGUCCGCGUCGAUCCCACCACCACCGGAGCAAACGAGUGGUGGGGUAGACGCCGGCGGAAGAACGGGCGUCGACGAGGGAGCUCAUGGUGCUGCCAAGUCCAAGGACAAGGCUGCGCAGACCUCGACGUCCGUACAAGCACCGCGCCCAUCUCAGGAGCCGCGGGACCGACAACGUCAUGGUACUCGCGCUACCAUACUUUCGUUGGACCGAGAUCGAGCUGGUGGAUCUCGGGAUGCUCAAGACCAGCAUGCACGCCAACAUGCUGGCACGAGCAAGACACGGUCGCCUGGACGGGAUACUGCUCCUUCUAACAUAGUUAGAAGUCCGAGCAUAUCCCGCUCCUCGCACCGUUCGCCACUACCACCCACCACUCCAGCAGAAGAUUUAGCGCGAGCUCAACUGCUCCUGGAUUACCCUCCAUUGGCGGACAAGAUCGACGAAUGGAGGGCCACCAUUCAGAGUCUCAUCGGCUUCGCCAACGGCGACACUCCACGGCAGCCGAAUACAUCACACCACGGCAAGAUUGCCAGGCAUGAACUGAUGGCGACAAAACCGGUGGGGGUGAAACCAUCAUGCACUCUCCGCCCCGAAGGCCAAGAUCGCCGACUCGCC